UACGGAGGAUCCGAGCGUUAUCCGGAUUUAUUGGGUUUAAAGGGAGCGUAGGCGGGUUGUUAAGUCAGUUGUGAAAGUUUGCGGCUCAACCGUAAAAUUGCAGUUGAUACUGGCAUCCUUGAGUACAGUAGAGGUAGGCGGAAUUCGUGGUGUAGCGGUGAAAUGCUUAGAUAUCACGAAGAACUCCGAUUGCGAAGGCAGCCUGCUGGACUGUAACUGACGCUGAUGUUCGAAAGUGUGGGUAUCAAACAGG
rnacentral:rRNA from 1 species